GACAGAGGGUGCAAACGUUGCUCGGAAUCACUGGGCGUAAAGCGCACGUAGGCGGAUUUGCCAGUCAGGGGUGAAAUCCCGGGGCUCAACCUCGGAACUGCCUUUGAUACAGCAAGUCUUGAGUUCGAGAGAGGUGGGUGGAAUUCCUAGUGUAGAGGUGAAAUUCGUAGAUAUUAGGAAGAACACCGGUGGCGAAGGCGGCCCACUGGCUCGACACUGACGCUGAGGUGCGAAAGCGUGGGGAGCAAACAGG
rnacentral:rRNA from 1 species